UACGUAGGGAGCAAGCGUUGUCCGGAUUUACUGGGUGUAAAGGGCGCGUAGGCGGGGAAGCAAGUCAGGUGUGAAAUCUAUGGGCUCAACCCAUAAACUGCACUUGAAACUGUUUUUCUUGAGUGAUGGAGAGGCAAGCGGAAUUCCUAGUGUAGCGGUGAAAUGCGUAGAUAUUAGGAGGAACACCAGUGGCGAAGGCGGCUUGCUGGACAUUAACUGACGCUGAGGCGCGAAAGCGUGGGGAGCAAACAGG
rnacentral:rRNA from 1 species